rnacentral:rRNA from 1 species
CUCGUGGAACGAGCGGCGGACGGGUGAGUAACACGUGGGCAACCUGCCUGUAAGAUCGGAAUAACCCCGGGAAACCGGGGCUAAUGCCGGGUAAUACUUUCUUUCGCAUGAAGGAAAGUUGAAAGAUGGCUUCUUGCUAUCACUUACAGAUGGGCCCGCGGCGCAUUAGCUAGUUGGUGAGGUAACGGCUCACCAAGGCGACGAUGCGUAGCCGACCUGAGAGGGUGAUCGGCCACACUGGGACUGAGACACGGCCCAGACUCCUACGGGAGGCAGCAGUAGGGAAUCUUCCGCAAUGGACGAAAGUCUGACGGAGCAACGCCGCGUGAACGAUGAAGGUCUUCGGAUCGUAAAGUUCUGUUGUUAGGGAAGAACAAGUACCGUGCGAAUAGAGCGGUACCUUGACGGUACCUAACGAGGAAGCCCCGGCUAACUACGUGCCAGCAGCCGCGGUAAUACGUAGGGGGCAAGCGUUGUCCGGAAUUAUUGGGCGUAAAGCGCGCGCAGGCGGUUCCUUAAGUCUGAUGUGAAAGCCCACGGCUCAACCGUGGAGGGUCAUUGGAAACUGGGGAACUUGAGGACAGAAGAGGAGAGUGGAAUUCCACGUGUAGCGGUGAAAUGCGUAGAUAUGUGGAGGAACACCAGUGGCGAAGGCGACUCUCUGGUCUGUUUCUGACGCUGAGGUGCGAAAGCGUGGGUAGCAAACAGGAA